UCUCUCUCUUCCUUAUCCAGCAUUCUUUUCUCUCUCCUCUUACCAGGACCUUGAUUCUGCUCUGAAGUCUUUAAUAGCUUUUUUUUUUCUUUGCUUACAGAAUGAUGCAUGGUUCCCAAACAGGCAUUCAGUAUGCUCUACAAUGUGGCACAAAUUUCCUCUCCUACCUGGUCAUCUACUCUUACUAUAGGAAAUCUUCACCAUUAAAUUGUUGUAUGCCCCAUUCUUUUUUUUUUUUNAAUUUUUUAUUUUUUAUAAACAUAUAUUUUUAUCCCCAGGGGUACAGGUCUGUGAAUCACCAGGUUUACACACUUCACAGCACUCACCAAAGCACAUACCCUCCCCAAUGUCCAUAAUCCCACCCCCUUUCUCCCAAAACCCCUCCCCCCAGCAACCCUCA
rnacentral:lncRNA from 1 species